rnacentral:tRNA from 4 species
AGUCGAUCAAUAUCGAUCUAAACAAUAGACUGCGGCCUUCUAAGCCGUAGGUCACACGUUCGAAUCGUGUAGGGCGGGCCA